UACAGAGGGGGCAAGCGUUGUUCGGAAUUACUGGGCGUAAAGGGCGCGUAGGCGGCCUGCUAAGUCGAACGUGAAAUCCCUGGGCUCAACCCAGGAACUGCGUCCGAUACUGGUUGGCUUGAAUCCGGGAGAGGGACGUGGAAUUCCAGGUGUAGCGGUGAAAUGCGUAGAUAUCUGGAGGAACACCGGUGGCGAAGGCGACGUCCUGGGUCAAAACUGACGCUCAUGCACGAAAGCGUGGGGAGCAAACAGG
rnacentral:rRNA from 1 species